CACGGCGGUGGGCGGGGCGUGCCUCAGGGACGUUACAACUCGCCGAGGUUGGCGGCGGCGCCAUUUUGAACUGGCUGAGGGUCGGGGGCGGUGGUGGCCGGAGCGGGCUCCGCGUUCCCUGAGAAAGCCAGUGAGGAGGGAGAGAGGUCUGAAUAUGGCAGCGAAUAGGAACUUGAAGCAAGUGCGGAUCGAGAAUAGCUCCCCAGCGGCGCCGCUGGGCAUGGUGGGGGGUGGUGGCGGCAGCGGCAACCUGAAGGGAUUGCGGGGCCUAGAAACUGAGAGUGAGGCAGCGGCGGCCAUGGCGCUAGUGCCGAGCAAAGAAGGUGGAGAUGAAGAGCAGGAGGUUGGGUUCACCAUCGAUAUCAAAAGCUUCCUCAAACCUGGCGAGAAGAGCUACACGCAACGCUGCAGGCUGUUCGUGGGGAAUCUGCCUACCGAUAUCACAGAGGAAGAUUUCAAGCGCCUCUUCGAGCGCUAUGGGGAGCCUAGCGAGGUCUUCAUCAAUCGGGACCGUGGCUUUGGCUUCAUUCGCCUGGAAUCUAGGACACUGGCUGAAAUAGCAAAGGCGGAACUUGAUGGUACUAUUUUGAAGAGCAGACCACUUCGAAUUCGAUUUGCUACACAUGGAGCUGCCCUAACAGUCAAGAAUCUUUCACCUGUGGUUUCUAAUGAGCUGCUGGAACAAGCAUUCUCUCAAUUUGGGCCAGUGGAAAGAGCUGUUGUUGUAGUAGAUGAUCGUGGCAGAGCUACAGGAAAAGGUUUCGUAGAGUUUGCAGCAAAACCUCCAGCACGGAAAGCUCUAGAAAGAUGCAGUGAUGGGGCAUUCUUGCUAACAACAACACCUCGACCUGUUGUUGUAGAGCCAAUGGAGCAGUUUGAUGAUGAAGAUGGGCUCCCAGAGAAGCUAAUGCAAAAAACCCAACAGUAUCACAAGGAAAGAGAACAGCCUCCACGUUUUGCUCAGCCUGGAACAUUUGAGUUUGAGUAUGCUUCACGGUGGAAGGCUCUUGAUGAGAUGGAAAAGCAACAGCGUGAACAGGUUGACAGGAACAUUAGAGAAGCCAAAGAGAAACUAGAGGCAGAAAUGGAAGCAGCUAGACAUGAGCAUCAGCUAAUGCUGAUGAGGCAAGAUCUCAUGCGACGUCAAGAAGAAUUGAGGCGUUUGGAAGAACUUCGAAAUCAAGAGCUUCAAAAACGCAAGCAGAUACAAUUGAGACAUGAGGAAGAACAUCGACGUCGUGAGGAAGAGAUGCUGCGGCAGAGAGAACAGGAGGAAUUACGACGACAGCAGGAGGGAGGAUUCAAACCAAAUUUCAUGGACAAUAGAGAACAGGAAAUGAGAAUGGGUGAUAUGGGUCCUCGUGGAGCAAUAAACAUGGGAGAUGCGUUUAGCCCAGCACCUGCUGGUAACCAAGGCCCUCCUCCAAUGAUGGGUAUGAAUAUGAACAACAGAGGAACUUUACCUGGCCCUGCAAUGGGUCCUGGUCCUUCCAUGGGACCAGAAGGAGCUGCAAAUAUGGGAACACCAAUGAUGCCAGAUAAUGGAACAGUGGUAAACCUGAACAAAUGCAAACAUGAACACAGCUCUGCGGAUCAUCUCGGGUUCUCUUUGGAAACCCCAAAUAAAUGGCCACAAGGGAUUGUGUGUUUUCCUGUGAACAGCUCGGCAUUGGAUUCCUUCCUUUCUGUGUGAUGGAUAGUGGCUCUGCUGCUCUCAAAAUGAUACCUGUGCCUGCUGGUGCGAAAUGUCAUAUGGUUCACUUCAGUGGAAGUCACACUUUACCCAUGCUGCUGUUAUGUGUUGCUAGGUUACUGUUAAAAUCUUAAAAUGCAGAUGAAGACUGGCUUGUGCAGAAUCCUUCUGCUGUCUUACACAUACGAAAGGGAAUCUAAACCAAGUUUUGUACAAGCUGAAAUUGGGGACGCCUUUCACAGAAUCCCAGAAUGACUGAGAUUGGAAGAGUGCUGUGAAGAUUGUCUAACCCAAAACUCUGCUCGAAGCAGGAUGUCAGAUGGGUCUGCCCUGUGAGGCGUGGGGCAGUGGCACAGUUGGAAAGGAUGGGAGGACCCACAUGGAGCGUGUCCCACCCGUACCCAGGACUAGGAAAGACACAUCAGAAGAACCUGCAAAGAGUGUCUGCCUGCAGGGUUCAAGAUGCUUGUUCCUGGAUGAGGCAACGAGUUCCAGGUUUGUGACACUGCUGUCCCUUGCAGAGGUGGAGGUCUCCACAGUGCAAAGCAGAGUCGAGCUUUUACUAGUAAAGCUGAUAUUUUGGCCAACCUUGGUGCGUUGCUGAAGUCUUGACUCCCUUUCUAGCUAGGCUGUACCAGAAGCAUAUUUUCUUUCCAGAAAUACUAGUGCUGGGAAAUGGUGUUGAUAAAAGGGUUAAAGUUUGUAUAUGCUACAAGAAUCAGAGUAAAUGAUACAUUAAAAGACUUCUCCUUGCUUAAACAGUGGGAUUUGGACUGAAAAGAAAAAAAGCCAUUAGAGUUAAAUGAGUAAAAAAAUAUUUUCAAGCAUUAAAAUAUGUGACAAAAGAUAGGAAAGUGGUGGUUCUAGUUAAACAAAAAAGUGUGGAUUGUGUUUGGGCUGCAGUACAGUUUAAAACAGCACAGAAGUAUUUGUUAUCUGAGCCAGCAACAGCUGGAAGGGAGUGGGAGGCAGCGUUAACUGAUGGGGAGGCGAGAGCUGCACUGAGGUUGCACUUUCAGGAUAAAAAUGCCUGCUGCCUUAGUGUAGCCCAAUAAAAAGAUGAAAACCCAAAACCAUCAAUGAAAUGAAUAAUGAAAGAUGAAUGUUGAUGCAAUCAGAGUUUAGCAUUGUACUGUAACAUACCACCAGGGUUUUGUUAGGGUUUCUGUAUCUAUUAUAAAACUGUUUCAAAUUAAACAGUGAAUAACAGGAUGUUUAUUUUCUACUUCCUGAAAUCAGCAGGCAGUGAACACAGAUCCAGGGCCUGACGGGAAUGUCGCCAAGUUCAGAAAAAGCAGAUAAAUGUCGUGCAGAGGGCACUGCAUUAACCAGUGCUGUGGUGCAGCCUGGGUAGGCAAGCUUGCCUCUCUGUUCAGUGCUCUACGACUGCAGUUGGAGUGCUGUGACCGGUUCUGGGCUCCUGAACACCAGAUGUAUGUGGGAACAGGCUGGUGGAGGCCACCAUGAUGAUCAGGAGGUUAAAGCCCAGGAGCCAUGGGGAUGGCAGUGGGGUUUGUAGUCUGGAAAACAGGAGCUCGGGGGGCAGGAGAUCACCUUCUUCAGCUGUGUAAUGGACAGAGGGGGAGAAGAUGGAGCCAGGCUCACCUUAGCAGUACACAGUAGUGAGAAAAUCUUGUAUAACUACCGGUGUAUCCAAGUGUUGUAUCACACCACUAACAAAACCUGUGCAAUCAGUACUGUCUUGCUGCAGUUAAUUGGUUUCCCCACAAUGUGGAACCAUUGGAAGUUCCUGGUAACCCUUUUGUUUCAGGGAAGGAGGACACAGGGAGCCAGUCUUGGGGCUGGGAGGUGAUGUUCACUUGUUGGGUUUAGGGGUCUUGAUCCUGCUGUCCACAGAAAAAACAAUGUAUAGAUCCGACAGAUCCAGGAAAGCCUGGGAAACUUCAAAUCCUUGCAUAUCUCCUGUGCAAACGCCUCAGACACGAUGUCUGAACCAGCUUGGUAAAGCUUUUUGAAAAAACAGUAAUAAAUACACAUGUAAGCAAGGCCUUCGCACCCCAGGGCUCUGGCUGUUACUGUUCCUGGCAGGGAGAGCAGCUUUCUCCCUCUAAUACAGAUGACUGCGUUCAUGGAAUGGUUUGGAUUGAAAAGGACCUUAAUAUCUAUCAUCUAGUUCCAACCCCUGCUGUGGCAGGAACACCUCCCUCUAGACCAGGUUGCUCAAGGCAUGCAACUGCUGUCAUCACAGGCCCAACUGGGCUUUUAUUCCCCAAAUUCAUAUUCUCUCCUCUUGGCUAUGGGAUGUCUGUACAAGGAACAGCACAAGAGAACAAGACUUCUUGUCAGGAAGUGGGGGUUUGUGGUAUAGACCAGGAUGUCACCCCAGGGGCAGUCCUGUCACUGUUGAAAACACUGCAGCACAUCCCAUACCACUGCAGUGACUCAGUACUGGAGCAGCUGGGGGCUCCCUGGUCUGUUGUCAUGUCCAGUCCCUGCACACGUGGCUUUGGUUGUUGUAAAAGCAGAGCUGGGCCUCCUGUCAUUUUAACAGUGGCCCACACAUGAGAGGAGCCUGGCAAUGCCAGGGCCUGACCUACCCACUGUAUGGGUUGCACGAGUAACCAGCUAUGGAACAGUUUGUUGCUGUUCAAAGCAUGUAGGAAGUAUUACAGAAAUUCUUGGAAAAAACCCACCCUGUUUUCCAGUGCCGUGGCAAUAGAAUUACAGCAGGUACAGACAGAGCACUUCCAGGACUCGGAGCAAUCCUGGCUGGCUGAGAUAGCCACUGUGCUCUUUGGUACCUGUCUCUUCCCCUGUGUUGAAGCUGCUUUCUUCCAUUCAGACUAACGGAAAACAUCUUGGUUUUGAGAACUGGCUGCAGAAAAUGCACCGAGGACCUGUGACAAAGUCAGCAUCACCCACUACACAUCAUCUGUGGGAGAGGCCAGGACCACCAGGACUGAUGAUGAAGCAGUGAAAGAUAACAGACUCAAGCCUCCAGAAACACAUACUACUACCCUUGCACUUCAUCAUAAUAGCAGCAAGAAGAAACUGAGCAAGAACUUUAAAGGUAUUUCUCAACAGCACUUGAAGAACUAUUUUUAUUGUAACUACCUUCUCUUCAUCCUUUGUCCACCAAAACCUUGUUCUUAGCAACUGAAUAAAACCAUGCAAUAGAAUCAGACAAAAACCAGCUUCAAACAUCUUUUCACAUGCCUUUUAUGCAUCUUCAGCAGGGAUUUGGAGUUUAUAUUGCCAACUACAAGAGGAAGAUGGCUACAAAAUCCAUCCUUUAAUAAAAGCAUCAUGAACCCAAAUUUUAUUCCCAUGUCCUGUAGAACUCCUCCCUGUCUCUUACACAAAACCCCCAAACUCCCCAACUCAUCAGCCUUUGACAAACUAAUUGCUAUGAUGUCAGCUCCUGGACCAUGACUGUCUAUUUUUAGGUCAGACUGUACAAUAGUUUCUAAACAGCAUCUGUGUAAGGUGGACAUCAGUUCCUCAACCUUUUGUCCUUGUCUUCAACAGCUCCAACAUUUACCAGAGACAGGUACUGUACAGAACUGGUCACGCAUGUGCCAGCUCCCCUUAUAUGUACACCAAGGAGUGACUGUGGAAGGGGGAGCCAUACACAUGGGCACCAUCACCCCAGCGUAAGGGAGCACUCAUGCAUGUCCCCUCUCUGUGUUCAUCGUCCGGGGAUACACGCAGCAACUAUAAAGACCCAGACCCACACGUGGUCCCAAGAUGGGCGGCUGUUCUAAACCAGAACAACGUGAGCGGUCGUAGGUCGUGUUGCUGUUCUAGUUUCCUAUAGCUCGAUGCAAUAUUCCACAGCACUGAAGCAGCGUGCUUUGGUACCCACACACUUUGAAUCUCUUACAUAUAAAAAGGUUAAAAAACUUUUAAGAACCCAAAUGAAAAAGCGGUUAAUUGAACUUUGUAUUAAAAAGUCACAGUUUUUAAAAGAAUACAUCGGCACCGUUUUGAUGGCGAGCACUCAAAUACAUCAAGAGUUUAUCUCCAAUGGUUUCUCCAAUAUUAUAGGCACAUAGUGGCAUGUAAACUACACGUGGCAACCAGAACAGCAAAGGCACAAUCUGGUUUUAUUUUUUUUGUUUUUUUGUUGUUACGCUUCUCAAGAUGUUGGUUAAUUUACAAAGAAAAAUAUUCUAUACUUCAUGCAGAAGUAUUACAUUUGUAGCACAGGACCGUUACAGAACUGCUGUCAUUUAAAUAAUAAUAAUAAAAAAAAAAGAUAGCAGCUCUUUGCACUGAGGAACUGGAUUUCUGCAUUGAAGGACAAUACGUUUUCUUAUCUGGCAGGCUGAGAACAUCUCAGAUAGAUUGUUGAUGGAUCUUCCCUGCCUACAUCAAGCACCGCCUGCACACCGAAGGGAGUUACAAGUUCUCUGGUUUGCUAUUUUUACCUUGUAUUUAUUUUCCCAUAUGUCCAAGAAUGUCAAAGAAGUCACAAGUAAAGCUGUCUGUAAAACUACCAGUUGCUUCUCUAACACAAAAGUAGUUUUAAAACACUGGUGUAAGUAGGAAUCCGACUGCGCUCCUCUAGUAGCUGGGCCUGUCCCAAUGCCAUUGCUGGUGCCUGCAGACCUCACUGUGUGU